rnacentral:rRNA from 1 species
UUAAGCGACUAAGCGUACACGGUGGAUGCCCUGGCAGUCAGAGGCGAUGAAGGACGUGCUAAUCUGCGAUAAGCGUCGGUAAGGUGAUAUGAACCGUUAUAACCGGCGAUUUCCGAAUGGGGAAACCCAGUGUGNNNNNNNNNNNNNNNNNNNNNNNNNNNNNNNNNNNNNNNNNNNNNNNNNNNNCACACUAUCAUUAACUGAAUCCAUAGGUUAAUGAGGCGAACCGGGGGAACUGAAACAUCUAAGUACCCCGAGGAAAAGAAAUCAACCGAGAUUCCCCCAGUAGCGGCGAGCGAACGGGGAGCAGCCCAGAGCCUGAAUCAGUGUGUGUGUUAGUGGAAGCGUCUGGAAAGGCGCGCGAUACAGGGUGACAGCCCCGUACACAAAAAUGCACAUGCUGUGAGCUCGAUGAGUAGGGCGGGACACGUGGUAUCCUGUCUGAAUAUGGGGGGACCAUCCUCCAAGGCUAAAUACUCCUGACUGACCGAUAGUGAACCAGUACCGUGAGGGAAAGGCGAAAAGAACCCCGGCGAGGGGAGUGAAAAAGAACCUGAAACCGUGUACGUACAAGCAGUGGGAGCACGCUUAGGCGUGUGACUGCGUACCUUUUGUAUAAUGGGUCAGCGACUUAUAUUCUGUAGCAAGGUUAACCGAAUAGGGGAGCCGAAGGGAAACCGAGUCUUAACUGGGCGUUAAGUUGCAGGGUAUAGACCCGAAACCCGGUGAUCUAGCCAUGGGCAGGUUGAAGGUUGGGUAACACUAACUGGAGGACCGAACCGACUAAUGUUGAAAAAUUAGCGGAUGACUUGUGGCUGGGGGUGAAAGGCCAAUCAAACCGGGAGAUAGCUGGUUCUCCCCGAAAGCUAUUUAGGUAGCGCCUCGUGAAUUCAUCUCCGGGGGUAGAGCACUGUUUCGGCAAGGGGGUCAUCCCGACUUACCAACCCGAUGCAAACUGCGAAUACCGGAGAAUGUUAUCACGGGAGACACACGGCGGGUGCUAACGUCCGUCGUGAAGAGGGAAACAACCCAGACCGCCAGCUAAGGUCCCAAAGUCAUGGUUAAGUGGGAAACGAUGUGGGAAGGCCCAGACAGCCAGGAUGUUGGCUUAGAAGCAGCCAUCAUUUAAAGAAAGCGUAAUAGCUCACUGGUCGAGUCGGCCUGCGCGGAAGAUGUAACGGGGCUAAACCAUGCACCGAAGCUGCGGCAGCGACGCUUAUGCGUUGUUGGGUAGGGGAGCGUUCUGUAAGCCUGUGAAGGUGUGCUGUGAGGCAUGCUGGAGGUAUCAGAAGUGCGAAUGCUGACAUAAGUAACGAUAAAGCGGGUGAAAAGCCCGCUCGCCGGAAGACCAAGGGUUCCUGUCCAACGUUAAUCGGGGCAGGGUGAGUCGACCCCUAAGGCGAGGCCGAAAGGCGUAGUCGAUGGGAAACAGGUUAAUAUUCCUGUACUUGGUGUUACUGCGAAGGGGGGACGGAGAAGGCUAUGUUGGCCGGGCGACGGUUGUCCCGGUUUAAGCGUGUAGGCUGGUUUUCCAGGCAAAUCCGGAAAAUCAAGGCUGAGGCGUGAUGACGAGGCACUACGGUGCUGAAGCAACAAAUGCCCUGCUUCCAGGAAAAGCCUCUAAGCAUCAGGUAACAUCAAAUCGUACCCCAAACCGACACAGGUGGUCAGGUAGAGAAUACCAAGGCGCUUGAGAGAACUCGGGUGAAGGAACUAGGCAAAAUGGUGCCGUAACUUCGGGAGAAGGCACGCUGAUAUGUAGGUGAAGUCCCUCGCGGAUGGAGCUGAAAUCAGUCGAAGAUACCAGCUGGCUGCAACUGUUUAUUAAAAACACAGCACUGUGCAAACACGAAAGUGGACGUAUACGGUGUGACGCCUGCCCGGUGCCGGAAGGUUAAUUGAUGGGGUUAGCGCAAGCGAAGCUCUUGAUCGAAGCCCCGGUAAACGGCGGCCGUAACUAUAACGGUCCUAAGGUAGCGAAAUUCCUUGUCGGGUAAGUUCCGACCUGCACGAAUGGCGUAAUGAUGGCCAGGCUGUCUCCACCCGAGACUCAGUGAAAUUGAACUCGCUGUGAAGAUGCAGUGUACCCGCGGCAAGACGGAAAGACCCCGUGAACCUUUACUAUAGCUUGACACUGAACAUUGAGCCUUGAUGUGUAGGAUAGGUGGGAGGCUUUGAAGUGUGGACGCCAGUCUGCAUGGAGCCGACCUUGAAAUACCACCCUUUAAUGUUUGAUGUUCUAACGUUGACCCGUAAUCCGGGUUGCGGACAGUGUCUGGUGGGUAGUUUGACUGGGGCGGUCUCCUCCUAAAGAGUAACGGAGGAGCACGAAGGUUGGCUAAUCCUGGUCGGACAUCAGGAGGUUAGUGCAAUGGCAUAAGCCAGCUUGACUGCGAGCGUGACGGCGCGAGCAGGUGCGAAAGCAGGUCAUAGUGAUCCGGUGGUUCUGAAUGGAAGGGCCAUCGCUCAACGGAUAAAAGGUACUCCGGGGAUAACAGGCUGAUACCGCCCAAGAGUUCAUAUCGACGGCGGUGUUUGGCACCUCGAUGUCGGCUCAUCACAUCCUGGGGCUGAAGUAGGUCCCAAGGGUAUGGCUGUUCGCCAUUUAAAGUGGUACGCGAGCUGGGUUUAGAACGUCGUGAGACAGUUCGGUCCCUAUCUGCCGUGGGCGCUGGAGAACUGAGGGGGGCUGCUCCUAGUACGAGAGGACCGGAGUGGACGCAUCACUGGUGUUCGGGUUGUCAUGCCAAUGGCACUGCCCGGUAGCUAAAUGCGGAAGAGAUAAGUGCUGAAAGCAUCUAAGCACGAAACUUGCCCCGAGAUGAGUUCUCCCUGAC